AUCAACUUUCGAUGGUAGGAUAGAGGCCUACCAUGGUGGUAACGGGUAACGGGGUGUUAGGGCACGACACCGGAGAGGGAGCCUGAGAAACGGCUACCACAUCCAAGGAUGGCAGCAGGCGCGCAAAUUACCCAAUCCCGACACGGGGAGGUAGUGACAAUAAAUAACAAUACGGGGUUCUUUCGGAUUUCGUAAUUGGAAUGAGUACAAUUUAAAUCUCUUAACGAGGAACAAUUGGAGGGCAAGUCUGGUGCCAGCAGCCGCGGUAAUUCCAGCUCCAAUAGCGUAUAUUAAAGUUGUUGCAGUUAAAAAGCUCGUAGUUGAAUUUCGGGGUCAGUAGGUUGGUCAUGCCACUGGUAUGUACUGGCCUCACUGAUUCCUCCUUCCUGAUGAGCCGUAAUGCCAUUAAUUUGGUGUUGCGAGGAAUCUGGACUGUUACUUUGAAAAAAUUAGAGUGUUUAAAGCAGGCUAACGCUUGAAUACAUUAGCAUGGAAUAAUGAAAUAGGACGUUCGAUCUUAUUUUGUUGGUUUCUAAGAUUGACGUAAUGAUUAAUAGGGAUAGUUGGGGGCAUUAGUAUUCAAUUGUCAGAGGUGAAAUUCUUGGAUUUAUUGAAGACUAACUACUGCGAAAGCAUUUGCCAAGGAUGUUUUCAUUAAUCAAGAACGAAAGUUAGGGGAUCGAAGACGAUCAGAUACCGUCGUAGUCUUAACCAUAAACUAUGCCGACUAGGGAUCGGAUGAUGUUAAUUU
rnacentral:rRNA from 1 species